rnacentral:tRNA from 1 species
GUUUUUGUAGUUGAAUAACAACAGUGGUUUUUCAGACCAUAGGUUUUGGUUAAAUAUUAAGUCCAAACAGAAAUA